rnacentral:tRNA from 1 species
GCGGGCGUGGCGGAAUGGCAGACGCACCAGACUCAAAAUCUGGCGAGGGCGACCUCGUGUGGGUUCAAGUCCCACCGCCCGCA